UACGGAGGGUGCAAGCGUUAUCCGGAUUCACUGGGCUUAAAGGGUGCGUAGGAGGGCAGGUAAGUCAGUGGUGAAAUCUCCAAGCUUAACUUGGAAACUGCCGUUGAUACUAGCUGUCUUGAAUACCGUGGAGGUGAGCGGAAUAUGUCAUGUAGCGGUGAAAUGCUUAGAUAUGACAUAGAACACCAAUUGCGAAGGCAGCUCACUGCACGAAUAUUGACGCUGAGGCACGAAAGCGUGGGGAUCAAACAGG
rnacentral:rRNA from 1 species